rnacentral:lncRNA from 1 species
CUCGCUCAUGAUGCGUCUUUUUGCAAAUUGUUAGCCCUAACUCUUUAGCGAAUUUUUCUUCAGUAUGCCACGAAAAAAGACGAUUUCUUUGACGAGGAACUGCCCCCAACGCAGCGAAGCUGAAGCUGACCUCUUGAGUGAAGAACCACCUGAAUCAUCCCAAAAAAUUCAUAAAGUACACCAUGAUAAAGACGAUGACAAUGACCUUUCUGUUGUUGCGGUGGAAACCAUAACUCCAGAACCAGGACAAGAUGAUGGGUCUUCCUCUAUGGUGGAAAAAGACAAGCUGAUGCUCAUGGCCCAGACAAUACAAACACUUAAACAGGAACGAGAUUUUCUCCGCCAAACUGUCCUAAAAUUGUCAAACAGAGGGGCAAAAAAAGUAAAGAAAGUCUUGGACACAAGCACUGAAUGCAGCACCAGUAACACUGAUGAGGAGUCCAUGACUUCUUCCUCCUCUUCAGAUUCACCUGAUAGUGAUAUUCCUCGGAAGAAGAGAAAGAGUCAUAAGAAGACAAAGAGGGCCAGCAGGUCAAAAUCUACCAAGCACAGCACACGUGCAACAACCCCUGAUGACGUACUAAGGCGGUACAACAAAGUUUUCAAUGCCUAUAAAAAAGAAGGGAGCAUUAGUAAAGCAUGUGCCAAAGUUGGGGUUGACCGUAAUACUCUCGCAUUAACAGCUGUUGUGGCUGAAAUUCAGCUUGUUGAUGCUGAGUUUUACAGAAGCAUCCCUAAAUUCAGAACCGAGGAGAAACUUUUUGACUUUGCCAAGAGGUGCCUGCAGUCGCUGACAACAGACUUAAAAUCUGUCAUUGAAAACGCCAAACAAGAGCGCAAACUUCUGCCAAUAAAGUAUAAGUUCAGAUAGAAAUAUACAAAUCUCUUAUGUGCAGAUGUUGUUUAAAGUUAAAUUGUAGAUUCACAUCAGUAGUUAUUAAUUGUUACCCCAUUUGUCGUUCCAACCCCUGAGACCUGAAAUGACACUGAAGAGAAUAAAAUGUAAAAUAAUGCGUUUUUUGUCCACACAAAAGUAUUAUCAUAGCUUCAUAGCAUUACAAUUGAACCACUGAAGACAAAUGUACUCUUUUGAUGUUAUUGGUACUGUAUCUUUCUAGACUUUAAA